CCAGGAAUGCCCAGCACACACCCAGUCUCGGGGCACCUGCCCUCACAGCUGGGGGGCGUCACCUAUGUGCCCCGAAUGUAGUAGAUCAUGUGGUGCCUGCACCAAGGCCGUGGCAUGAAAUUCAAUAAAAUUUCCCCAAAUUCAUUGUUCAGUCAUGACUCAUUUCCAAGGAAAGGAGUGAAAUCCACCCUUCUUCCUUUGUUCUUUCUUCCUCCUUUGAAAGUGUCCCCAUGGAGAAGCCCCCACUCCUACAGUCUUGAGAAAGAGCCUCUCACACACUCACACCCAUUCCCACACACAGACACACUCACACACACUCUCACACCCAUUCCCA
rnacentral:lncRNA from 10 species